UUUUCCUUUGCUGUUUGGUUUUUUAUUUUGUAUUCUUUAAUUAAUUUUGUAUUCUUUCUUCAUCGAUCUUCUUCGCCUCUGAUGAUGAUGAACAUGAACACAGCAAAGUAGCGAAGCAAUGGUGAGUGGCGACGAUGAUUUGAUGAAGAAAAGGGCUGAACAGAGAGAAAAUGGUUUGGCCUGAUGAUGAUUUGAUGAAGAGAAGGGAGAGAGUGGAAAUGUUUGGCAGCGGCGGUGAAUUAGGGCAAGGCUAAUUUUUUUUUUAAUUUUUCAAUUUAUAUUAAAUACAGAUGUCCGGGUCCGGGUUCCGGAUUUACGGGUUCACCCAAACCCGGAACCGGACCCGGAUUCAUCCGGGUUGAUAAAAUUCAAUCCGGAUUUCGGAUUUAAUUUGUUCCGGUACGGGUUGAACUCGGACCGGAUUUUCCGGGUUCGUCCGGGUCCGAUCCGGGUCCGGGUUAAAUUGCCAUCCCUAGGCUCUCCACCAUCCUCG
rnacentral:lncRNA from 1 species